CGGGGGCGGCGCUCAGUUGUCCAACCAAAAUCUAGUACUUUGCUAUUCAAAAGUGUCUGGGGACCAGCAGCAUCAGCAUCUCAGGUCCUGCCCCAGGCUAUUGAAUUAGAGCCUGCAUUGAACAAAACCACCCACCCCCAGUGACUUGAGGUCAUCCAGGGCACGACUCCUUGAACUGUUCACUGAUUUGAGCUGUAAUCCAGAAAUGAUGAAGAAUGCAGCAGAUUCAUAUUUCUCACUUUUACAAGGUUUCAUAAAUUCUUUGGAUGAAUCUACCCAAGAAAGCAAGUUACGAUAUAUUCAAAAUUUCAAGUGGACUGAUACAUUGCAAGGACAGGUUCCAAGUAUAACAGAAGAUGAAGCAAAAGAAGUUCAUCGAAGCCUAAAGAUUGCGGCUGGGAUUUUUAAACAUUUAAAGGAAAGUCAUAUCCCAAAACUCAUUACACCUGCAGAAAAAGGAAGAGAUUUAGAGUCACGACUCAUAGAAGCAUAUGUUAUUCAAUGUCAGGCUGAAGCUCAAGAAGUAACAAUUGCUCGAGCAAUUGAACUAAAACAUGCUCCUGGAC
rnacentral:sRNA from 1 species